GCCGGGGUGGUGGAAUUGGUAGACACGCAUGCCUUAGGAGCAUGUGCCAGUGAUGGUGUGCAGGUUCGAUUCCUGUCCCCGGUACCA
rnacentral:tRNA from 1 species